rfam:Medicago truncatula strain A17 chromosome 2, whole genome shotgun sequence.
UGCCGAGGUUUUCCUCGGUAGUUAACUGCAGCCGGUGUCUUUAGAAUUCGGCAGUUAACUGCCGAGGGAUAU